CCUCUCUACACACAUACAACAUUAAAUAUAGAGUGUAUUUGCUUCAUGCUACAUUUAACAAUGACAGAAGACCACAGUGACGACAAGAUCAUUGAUAGUAAAUAAAGACAGGAAUGAAGGAGGAGCACAGAAAGUAACAGUGGAUCAAGCCAUGGUCGGCUCAGGUGUGGAUGAAACACAGACGAGUCCAUACAGUCCAGCAAAGCAACUGAACAAUGACAAACACAGAGUUGUAAUGUUGAAAUGAUCGAGUGCUGAUGAGAGGAGAACACUAUCUGUUGUUUGGUUUUAUAAAAAUAAACAUGUUCCAUGCUUUAUACCCAUAAUAUGCUCUGUAAAAUAUAUGUUUUACUAUUAGUCUAUGUUACAUUACUACUAUAAAUAAUGACCUUACAGACAUUUAUUUUGUCCUCCCUUUCCUUAUUUUACAAAAUACAGUGUUUGGAUAAAUCUUAAUGUUACAAGUAAUAUUUUAAAAGUUUCUUUUUUUCUAAGUCUCUCAAAUGUUUUAUCCUAUUAUUUACAAUAGUAUUGUAGAAUUAUACAGGUCCGUACCAAAUAUCUUCUGU